rnacentral:rRNA from 1 species
GGCGGACGGGUGAGUAAUGCCUGGGAAUUUGCCCAUUUGUGGGGGAUAACAGUUGGAAACGACUGCUAAUACCGCAUACGCCCUACGGGGGAAAGCAGGGGAACUUCGGUCCUUGCGCUGAUGGAUAAGCCCAGGUGGGAUUAGCUAGUAGGUGAGGUAAUGGCUCACCUAGGCGACGAUCCCUAGCUGGUCUGAGAGGAUGACCAGCCACACUGGAACUGAGACACGGUCCAGACUCCUACGGGAGGCAGCAGUGGGG